rnacentral:tRNA from 1 species
GGGUCUUUAGCUCAGUCGGUAGAGCAGUUGCCUUUUAAGCAAUUGGUCGCGGGUUCGAGUCCCGCAGGACCCAC